GCUGCAUUCAGUGUAACCCCCAGCCGGACAGCAGAACUGCGUACUGCACCUGUCAGCUGGGAAGAGAGAUCCCAGUCUGAGACAGACUAAUCCCUCCUGCCCUUCUUGGCCACUGCAGGACACUCCAGUCAGUUCUCCAUUUCCUGCUUUCUGAAGCAGAAUAAUCUCCGCCAUAGGCUGCAGCAGCACAGCUCUAAGUGUGUGGCUCAUAGGAUUCCCCAUCUUGCUCUGUCACUGCUCCCAGCUGUGAAUCUUCCUCAGAGACAGUCACACCUUGAGGCUUAUAGUUUAGGAGAAGGAGUGAGAGUAUUGACUUACCUCAACAACACCCUCAGGAAGCAAAGACAGCUGGCAACUGCUCCAUACACACUGUUCACCAUCACUGCUUAGAAGUAGGAACAAGAAUAGUGACUAUCCCGUGGAAAAACAACAGCAUCAGCCUCCUGCUGCUUCUUGUAUGGAUUCUCUGGAUCCUUUACUGGUCAGUGCACAUUUAUCAUCUCGUACUGUAGAUUCCCUUCUUAGGCAGGAAUUACUAGUGUGUCCUGCCCCAAGGAGCUCAAGUGAAAGUGUGAAUGCUUGUUGUAGUUCAGCCCUGACCCUGGGGGAGCUCGAGCUAUCUGGUGUGGAGUCUCUUCAGACUCUUUUGCAGUCCUCACAGAUUUCUGCUAGCUUGUACUGUGCAGUCCAGAGGCUUAAGCAAGAAAGUGCUUUGAUGGGGAUAUGGGGCUCCCUUCCUCUGGAGCCCAGGUCUUCUCCAGGCAGUGGCAGUUUGUGCUUUGCUCCUGAUGCUUCAGCUCCUGGUAUCCUGAGUGCAGGAGAGCUAGCUGGAGUAAAGACCAGUGCCACUCAGGCAAGAUUGAAAUGGGGUGUUCCAUUUGCUAAAGACUGGAGCCUUAAUGCAGUGACAAGGGACUUCAGUCGUGCAGUCCCUGUCUCUGUAUUUCACAGAUAUGAAUGCAUUGACUCAAACACAUGGAGGACCAACAUUUUGGGUGACAUCCAGCCAGAAACCCUCACUUGUGGGGUGGGCUCUGGAGGGCUAGUGGAUACAGCAGCACAUUCCUCCUGCAAUUGCUCCCCUUAUUUCAGACACCAGUCCCAGGCAAAGCCAGCUCUUGAAACUGGUAGUUUUUAUGUACACACAAGAAGUCAUUCCCCUGAAAAGGUUCUUAAAGGAGAAGAGACAUCUAAUGGGGCAUCCCCUUGUGCUGUAUCUUGGAGGAGAGACCUCCCAGCCAAUAUCUAUCCAAAGGGUCUGCAGGUGUCACUGGAGACAGAUGUGGGGGAGGCUCAGAUGAAUGUUGAUGUAGCCAUGUAUGGAACCCCAAGGGAAGUGCGUGUGAGAGUCACUCCUGGAGAGUUUAGACCAGUCCAGCAGCUUAGUACUAAAUCUGUAAGAGUUAGCAACUCCAAGCCUCACGUUAAGUCCAGCAAAGAGUCAGGAGAGGUGUGUGACUCUAGAUCACAAGCAGCCAGAAUGGCUGUGGUGGGCAGCAGCCAGUCCAGCCCUUCCGUUACUCAGGUUGAAGAAGGCUUUGGUGAUUAUUCUGACAUAGAUUGUAGAAAUGUGAGCAGAGAAAGAAGGAGAAACAAAUACUCUCAGCAAAGGAGCUGGAGGAAUUGGGAAGCUGAUUCCAGUCUCGACCAGUCUGAAGAACCUUCUGUGGAGAGGACUGCCAAAGAACCACGGUGCUGUGAAGAAGGGAGCCAGACACGGGAAGCUGUGUCCAGAGAGGUCUCUGAGAACAGCUUCUGGUCAUUGAAGGUGAAUGAGCAAAGUUUCCAGCACUUACGUGACAGACAAAUGCUAGCUAGGUGUUUCCAAGCCUGGAGAAGACACGUCCUCUGGAAAAGGGCUGCAGCCAGGCAGCUUUACAGCCAGCAAUUGCUUCAGAAGGGCCUUGGUGCUUUGCAGAGGGAUGUGUGCCAGAGGAGGAUGCAGCUAGAGGUGGCCCAGCAGAGACAUGCCUCAGCUCUGCUAGCUGUCAGCUUCCACAGGUGGAAGGAAGCUGUGGCAAAAGAGAGCAAGAAGCAAGCUCCACAGCCUGAGCUGUAUUCUACCCAUAGUUCAUCAGUGGGGGGUUUUGGAGUAGGAAGAUUAGCAACUAUGACAACCUCAGCUGAUCACCAGCUUAUAGAAGGAUACUCAGAGGAAGUUGAGCAGGCUUGUAGGGUGGAAGGAAAACUGUGGACACAGCUUCAUCGUAGGCAGAGAGGAGAUGCAUUCUGCUUAGGAGCUCAGGCAAUCAGAGAUAUGAGACGACUAGCUGCUUUCAGACUGUGGCGCCUGCAGAAGGAGCUGCUGAGCAAAGAGGAAGCCAGGCUUUUGGAAGCCCGUGCUCUGCUAGAAAAGAAGCAGCUAAGAAACGUUUUCUGGCUGUGGCAUUCCCGAUGCUUGGAAAAGGAACAGAUCUCAGCGCUGACAACUCGGAUCCAAAGAAACUUGGUCUCUCAGUGCUUCUAUGCAUGGAAGGAGACUGUUGAACAGAAGGCACUUUACAGGUGCAACCUGGCCCAUCUCAGAGCAGUGUCACUGAGGAAAUACUUCCAGCAGUGGGUUCAGAGGCUGCAGGUCAGAGAAGGUGAUAAGCAAGCAAUGGCAAACUUCCUCCUCCUUCGAUGGAGGCAGCAUUAUGGAGCAGUUAUAAGCUCAGUAGCUGACAAGACUGUGACAAAGAGGGAUGAAGAUCAGCCACUGUGGACUGUAGAGAGAUGGUUUCCAGAGGAAGCAGGCUGCUCUCUUGAUGACUUCUGCCAAAAGGUGAAGCUCCAGAGAGUCUAUCUGCUGUGGAAAGCAAGGCUGUGCGAGCAUCACAGAGCUGAUUCUUUCUCUCAGGCUUUGGAGCAGUGUAGACUCCAAAAAGCUCUGAAAUUGUGGCACCAAAAGUGUCACAUGCUGAAGACAAUUGAACAAAGUCCUAGGCACUCUCACAUGACUCUCUAUGGAGAACCUCUUGCUGUGCUGUUUGCUGAGGACCUCUCAACAUCAUCUGGCUUUGACAGCAGUGCUUCAGCUACUCUGGCCUCUCAAAGCUCGCUGGAAAAGGAAUACAGCUUUAGUGACAGCAGCCAGCAGGGCUUCUCCUCUGUUCUGACUGUUGAGGAUGUCACACACAUACCCUAUUACAGUUCCGUUCUGCAACCACACCAGUGUGCAGAGCUGCCAGCUGAACUAGGUGAGGAGCUGUGCUUGCAGACCUCCUUUCCUCCAUGGAGUACUGGAUCUGGAAAUUGGUUUGCAGGAGGUCAGUUCCAGACUUUGGCACUACAGAGUCCAGAUAAUAACUUCCAGCUUCAAAACAGUCCUACAUGGGAAGAGGACUGCAGUUCUGACAAGGAGGUGAAGAGUUGCUGCCACCAAGCAGAGAGAUGGUUGCUGCAGAGGUACUUCAUUGUCUGGUCAGCUCGGACUCAGCAACUUGUGAAGGCUCAGCAGCACUGCAGGCUCACUCAGGUGUCCCGAGCCUUUCUCAGCUGGCACCACUGGACCAUGGAAAAUAAGAACCGCAAAGCAGCAGCAGCAGCUCUAAAACAUGAGGUUCAUUGCUGCCAGAUGGCUUUCAGCCUCUGGAAAAAGAGACUGGUGCAGAAAGUGGAGGCUGACCGGAGAUUCAGGUGUCACAUUCACCAGAUAACUGCUGCUGCUCUCUGGCGUUGGCAUUCCUGCUGGCAAAGGAAGCGUACUGUGAGAGAGCUGCAGCAGCAAUGGACUCAGCACAGCUGUCAGGAGAAGAAGAGGUUGGUCCUGCAGACAUGGUAUUGCCAAAUGAGGAAGCAGAAAUAUGCUGCUUUGUUCAGGGAACAUCUUCUCCUGCACAGAUGCUUGGUCGCCUGGGCCCAUGUCACUGCUUGUAGACUGAGGGAGCACGAAGCCCUCUCUUGUUUCAGAAGGGUCAGAGAGCACCGUGUCCUGGCUGUCAGCUUUACUGAGUGGAGGGUGAAAUUCUUGAGAGCUGAACAGCGGGUACUGGGACAGAGAAAGCACAAGUGGCAGGAAACCUCUCAGGGCAAAGCCUAUCACCGCUGGCGACUGGCCUCAAGAGGACGGCAAGCUCUGCACCUAGGAUCUGUGGCUACAGUAAAACAAGCCUGCAACUACUGGACAAAAGCAGCUGCCUUUUCCCAGUGUUCACGGCAAUGCAGUACCCUGAUAGGUGCUAGGAAGAGCAAGAAGAUGUCUCUGUCUUGGUCCAUGAAAAGCAGAAGAGACAAGGAGAAGAGUUCAGCACCUGUUGCCCCUCUUGGGCUUUUUCCCAGUGCCAUUCACCGCUGGCUGGUGAUGUACAGAAACCAAAACAGAGCUGAAAGGCUGCUGCUCCCUCACUUGGUAGAGAGACCUAGUGUGAUAGGACCCUCUUCUACGCUUGCAAGGAUCCAGGAGAACAAAGCAGAGGUGGACUUGGAGAAGUGGGAUUGGAAGUGGCUUGGGAGGAAGUAUCUGAGGAGGUGGCAUCACACAGUGGUGCUUCACAGGUGGCAGCAUAAUAGGAGACUGCGUUGUCUGGCAGGGGCAUGGCACCAGUGGAAAGAAGCCAGCAGGGUGGUGAUGUUGGCUCAAGUAUUGGAUGAGCAGCGGCUGAUAGAAAAGGCCUGGAGAGUGUGGAGACGACGACAUCUGCAAAGCUGUGUGGUGCAGAACUUCUUGGAGGAGGAAGCCAGGAGCCUCCUAUCACAGGCCUUUGGAAGGUGGCGCCAGCUAACAGCAUUCCAGCUCCAGGACAAAGGAGGCUGCUGAAUGGUGGGGCCUGCCUGCAGCUGCUGCUCACUUGAGGACACGUGGAGGAUACAGCUGGCUGUCACAACAAAGAGCUGCUUCUGCACAAGCAAGAAGCCAACGCUCUGCUCACGGGGUAAAAGGAGCACUGCAGUUCAGAAGCAUGAUAGCCAAAGGACAACCAGGAAGAGAUGGUACCUAUGAAAGGUCCUCUUUAAAGGACUUCAUAUCCUACCUCCCUAGAGGCACAAAUGGAGAAGUUAUUCCCCCUUUGUUGUGAGGCUGCAUUCCCCUCUCCUCUGGACCCUCAUUUUGCUGGAGUUGAUUAAAGGUCAAAAACCACCUUACAGGCUCUCCCUUUACUCCAUGUUGUUUUUGCUGGACAGGAGUUUAGUGUCAUGCAGGGGAGUAAGCAAAUACAUCAGUCUUAGAGAUGAGCAGGACUCUGCCCGUGCAAAUGCUACAUCCUGUUGAUUUCGAAGCCU
rnacentral:lncRNA from 14 species